GCCUUCAACAGCUACUUUCAGAAGUUCAAGCAGAGGUGGUUCUUGUUUCUUCCGAGGUUCUGCCAUUACAACAGAAGCAGAUCCUAGUCAUGGUUCUUGCCACUUUGACUUCAUUCCCUAAUUGGAACUGUCACUGAAGACUCAAAAAUAGCUGCAGCAGAAUCUACAGCUUAGAUUUUAUUUUUUCCUUUCUUUUUAUUGAGGCUGUGUAAUCCCCAUCAAGCAUUGUGCUCUUGCCUCUAUUUUUAAUUAAUUGAGUUUAAUCUCAGUCUAAGACUGAGAAAGUUAUUAAAUCUUAUGCAGAUUAGUGUCCAAUCUCAAAGAGCUUAAUGAUAUGCUGCAAAAUAACAUUUGAGAUUUCAUAGCCAGUAUGCUGCUGCAUGGGAGUUUACUUUAAAUAUGGGGGAAAUGAAAAGAUUGAAAAACAAUAAGAGUGCAGGGAAGCUUCACAACUAACAAGGAUUCCCUUUGAAUGAUGAAAAUCAGAACCAUUUCAGCUUAGGAAUAAAUUAACAUCAAUGCACAUAUAUAAUUACAAAA